rnacentral:rRNA from 1 species
UUUGCCCUUAGUUACCAUCAUUAGUUGGGGACUCUAAGGGGACUGCCGGUGAUAAACCGGAGGAAGGUGGGGGACGACGUCAAGUCAUCAUGGCCCUUAUGACCGGGGCUACACACGUACUACAAUGGUCGGUACAGACGGUCGCAAGCUCGCGAGAGUAAGCUAAUCCGAGAAAACCGAUCGUAGUCCGGAUCGCAGUCUGCAACUCGACUGCGUGAAGUCGGAAUCGCUAGUAAUCGCAAAUCAGAAUGUUGCGGUGAAUACGUUCCCGGGCCUU